AGGGAAUAUUGGUCAAUGGAUGCAAGUCUGAACCAGCCAUGCCGCGUGCAGGAAGAAGGCCUUCUGGGUUGUAAACUGCUUUUGCCGGGGGAUAAAAUUCCCAUCCGUGGGAAAUUGACGGUACCCGGUGAAUAAGCCACGGCUAACUACGUGCCAGCAGCCGCGGUAAUACGUAGGUCGCAAGCGUUGUCCGGAUUUACUGGGCGUAAAGGGCGCGCAGGCGGCUGGCCAAGUCCGUUGUGAAAGCUUCCGGCUUAACCGGGAAAUUGCAACGGAAACUGGUCGGCUUGAAGGUGGGAGAGGGUAGCGGAAUUCCCGGUGUAGUGGUGAAAUGCGUAGAUAUCGGGAGGAACACCAGUGGCGAAGGCGGCUACCUGGCCCAUUCUUGACGCUGAGGCGCGAAAGCUAGGGGAGCGAA
rnacentral:rRNA from 1 species